GAUGAACGCUGGCGGCGUGCCUAAUACAUGCAAGUCGAGCGAACGGACGAGAAGCUUGCUUCUCUGAUGUUAGCGGCGGACGGGUGAGUAACACGUGGAUAACCUACCUAUAAGACUGGGAUAACUUCGGGAAACCGGAGCUAAUACCGGAUAAUAUUUUGAACCGCAUGGUUCAAAAGUGAAAGACGGUCUUGCUGUCACUUAUAGAUGGAUCCGCGCUGCAUUAGCUAGUUGGUAAGGUAACGGCUUACCAAGGCAACGAUGCAUAGCCGACCUGAGAGGGUGAUAGGCCACAUGGGAGCGGAGACGCGGACAAGACUCCUACGGGAGGGAGCAGUAGGGAAUCUUCCGCAAUGGGCGAAAGCCUGACGGAGCAACGCCGCGUGAGUGAUGAAGGUCUUCGGAUCGUAAAACUCUGUUAUUAGGGAAGAACAUAUGUGUAAGUAACUGUGCACAUCUUGACGGUACCUAAUCAGAAAGCCACGGCUAACUACGUG
rnacentral:rRNA from 1 species